GGGGCUGACCGGAAUUGACAGCAUCGUUCUUUGUAAGUAAGCAUGUAGUGCAUUGGGAGCCAAGCACUUUAAUCUUUAACUCCCGACGCCAUAUUUGGCAACACUAAUUACGCAAUGGCUGCCUAAACCUCAAUGUAGGUUUCAGCUGUUUGUUCCCUGCGGAUUGCGCCUGACAAGCUGCUCCGGAACAUCGAAAAGUCAGGCUGGUUCUGUUUUGGCUUCUUAAACAGGAUAAGACAACUACAGAAGAUAAGAUGGUCAGUUGGUAUGUUCUUCACCGGCCUCCAUCCGACAAUUAAGAAGAAAUAAACAUGUAGAAGGCUUACGAUGGCCUUGUCUGGACGAGGGUUCAAAUCCCUCCAGCUCCACAA
rnacentral:tmRNA from 1 species